rnacentral:misc_RNA from 1 species
UCCGGUUUAACACCGGCAGUCUCCUUAGAGUCCCCAACUUAAUGCUGGUAACUAAGAACAAGGGUUGCGCUCGUUAUCGGACUUAACCGGACAUCUUACGACACGAGCUGACGACAGCCAUGCAGCACCUAUCACCGAGUCCCCGAAGGGAAAGCCACAUCUCUGUGGAUGUCUCGGGAUGUUAAGGGUAGGUAAGGUUCUGCGCGUUGCUUCGAAUUAAACCACAUACUCCACCGCUUGUGCGGGCCCCCGUCAAUUCCUUUGAGUUUUAGCCUUGCGGCCGUACUCCCCAGGCGGGGUGCUUAAUGCGUUAGCUUCGGCACGGACGGAGUCGACACCGCCCACACCUAGCACCCAUCGUUUACGGCGUGGACUAC